AUUGAACGCUAGCGGCAUGCCUAACACAUGCAAGUCGAACGGCAGCAGAUCUUCGGGCAGGCGACGAGUGGCGGACGGGUGAGUAAUACUUAGGAAUCUGCCCAGUAGUGAGGGACAACUCGAGGAAACUCGAGCUAAUACCGCAUACGCCCUACGGGGGAAAGCGGAGGAUCUUUCACGCUAUUGGAUGAGCCCAAGUCGGAUUAGCUUGUUGGUGGGGUAAAGGCCUACCAAGGCGACGAUCCGUAGCUGGUCUGAGAGGACGAUCAGCCACACUGGGACUGAGACACGGCCCAGACUCCUACGGGAGGCAGCAGUGGGGAAUAUUGGACAAUGGGCGCAAGCCUGAUCCAGCAAUGCCGCGUGUGUGAAGAAGGCCUGCGGGUUGUAAAGCACUUUCAGUGGGGAAGAAAUGCUCGAGCUUAAUACACUCGAUUCUUGACGUUACCUACAGAAGAAGCACCGGCCAACUCCGUGCCAGCAGCCGCGGUAAUACGGAGGGUGCAAGCGUUGCUCGGAAUCACUGGGCGUAAAGCGCGCGUAGGUUGUUGUGUAAGUGGAAUGUGAAAGCCCUGGGCUCAACCUGGGAACUGCAUACCAAACUGCGCAGCUAGAGUACGAUAGAGGGGGGUAGAAUUUCAGGUGUAGCGGUGAAAUGCGUAGAGAUCUGAAGGAAUACCGGUGGCGAAGGCGGCCCCCUGGAUUGAUACUGACACUGAGGUGCGAAAGCGUGGGUAGCAAACAGGAUUAGAUACCCUGGUAGUCCACGCCGUAAACGAUGUCUACUAGCCGUUGGAAUCCUUAGAGGUUUUAGUGGCGCAGCAAACGCAAUAAGUAGACCGCCUGGGGAGUACGGCCGCAAGGCUAAAACUCAAAUGAAUUGACGGGGGCCCGCACAAGCGGUGGAGCAUGUGGUUUAAUUCGACGCAACGCGAAGAACCUUACCUACUCUUGACAUCCUCGGAACUUGGCAGAGAUGCCUUGGUGCCUUCGGGAACCGAGUGACAGGUGCUGCAUGGCUGUCGUCAGCUCGUGUCGUGAGAUGUUGGGUUAAGUCCCGUAACGAGCGCAACCCUUGUCCUUAUUUGCCAGCACGUAAAGGUGGGAACUCUAAGGAGACUGCCGGUGACAAACCGGAGGAGGUGGGGAUGACGUUAAGUCAUUAUGGCCCUUAUGGGCAGGGCUACACACGUGCUACAAUGGUCGGUACAGAGGGUUGCCAAGCCGCGAGGUGGAGCUAAUCCCAGAAAGCCGAUCUUAGUCCGGAUUGCAGUCUGCAACUCGACUGCAUGAAGUCGGAAUCGCUAGUAAUCGCGAAUCAGAACGUCGCGGUGAAUACGUUCCCGGGCCUUGUACACACCGCCCGUCACACCAUGGGAGUGGGUUCACCAGAAGUAGAUGCUUAACAUUCGGGAGGGCGUUACCAC
rnacentral:rRNA from 1 species